UUUGUGACUAUUAUACCUGUUGCUUCGGCGGCGCCCGCAAGGGUGCCCGCCGGUCUCAUCAGAAUCUCUGUUUUCGAACCCGACGAUACUUCUGAGUGUUCUUAGCGAACUGUCAAAACUUUUAACAACGGAUCUCUUGGCUCCAGCAUCGAUGAAGAACGCAGCGAAACGCGAUAUGUAAUGUGAAUUGCAGAAUUCAGUGAAUCAUCGAAUCUUUGAACGCACAUGGCGCCUUCCAGUAUCCUGGGAGGCAUGCCUGUCCGAGCGUCGUUUCAACCCUCGAGCCCCUGUGGCCCGGCGUUGGGGAUCUGCCACGGCAGGCCCCUAAAACCAGUGGCGGACCCGAAGGCCCUCUCCUUUGCGCAGUAGCAUCAGCCUCGCAUUGGGAUCCCUCGGCGUCCUGCCUCUAAACCCCCCACAAGUCCGCUCCGGCGGCACCAAGGUUGACCUCGGAUCAGGUAGGAAUACCCGCUGAACUUAAGCAUAUCAAUAAGCGGAGGAA
rnacentral:rRNA from 1 species